GCCUGGCUCUUACACAAGGCUUCCUUCUGCUCACACUCAGAGCUUUGCACAACCGGCGACAUAUACAAGCACUGGGUCUGGAACAAAAGAAAACCUGGCUCUGAGAUCAGCCUCUGCCGUCCACCAGCUAUGUGGCCUUGAGAACCAAGGUGCUACCUCCUCCAGAAAGCCUUUCCAGAUUCUCCCUCCCUCUUCCUUCACCUGAGCCAGGUGGAGUUUGGGGAGCUGUGUGAUGAAAAGAAUAUAUAAGUGAAAUUGUAAAGACCUA